rnacentral:tRNA from 2 species
GGAGAGAUGUCAGAGCGGUUCAAUGUGCCUGAUUCGAAAUCAGGUGUACUGUAACAGGUACCGGGGGUUCGAAUCCCUCUCUCUCCG